rnacentral:rRNA from 1 species
GAUGAACGCUGGCGGCGUGCCUAAUACAUGCAAGUCGAGCGAACGGACGAGAAGCUUGCUUCUCUGAUGUUAGCGGCGGACGGGUGAGUAACACGUGGAUAACCUACCUAUAAGACUGGGAUAACUUCGGGAAACCGGAGCUAAUACCGGAUGAUAUUUUGAACCGCAUGGUUCAAAAGUGAAAGACGGUCUUGCUGUCACUUAUAGAUGGAUCCGCGCUGCAUUAGCUAGUUGGUAAGGUAACGGCUUACCGAGGCAACGAUGCAUAGCCGACCUGAGAGGGUGAUCGGCCACACUGGAACUGAGACACGGUCCAGACUCCUACGGGAGGCAGCAGUAGGGAAUCUCCCGCAAUGGGCGAAAGCCUGACGGAGCAACGCCGCGUGAGUGAUGAAGGUCUUCGGAUCGUAAAACUCUGUUAUUAGGGAAGAACAUAUGUGUAAGUAACUGUGCACAUCUUGACGGUACCUAAUCAGAAAGCCACGGCUAACUACGUG